rnacentral:lncRNA from 1 species
ACUACACACAUCACAGAAACAAACUGCAGCUCAUUGUGGCAGCAUACACCUAUAAAAACACACUCUUUUUUUAUUCUAGUGCAUCAGAAUCACCUGGAGUACUCUUUAACACACAGAUUAUUGAGACCCAGCCUCAGAGCUCCAAUUUAGAAUUUUCACUGCAGAGCUUCCUGGGUGCCAGGGUUCCAGGACCACUGUUUGAGAAUCAGUGCUCUAUUCCAGUCUCGUCAUUUACUACUUAAGAGUUACAGUUUUCAAAAGUAUACAAAUAGAUAUAGAUAUAAAUGGAUAUAGAUAUUGGAGUAGAUACAAAUAGAUAUAAUUUACCUAUAUUCUUUCCACCCACAAAAUGUAAUCUCUGCAAGUCAACAAAUAUUUAUUGAGCAUUUAUUCUAUAAGCACUGGGGAAACCACAAUAAACAAGAAAUAUUACUGCCUGCCUUCAGAAAGUAUAUAUAGAAAUAGAGAACAUGGACAAUAAACACAAAGCAAAUAUAUCAAUGAAACCAUUCCAGUGUGAAAAAUGCAUUCAAGAAGAUAAAAUAUGGUAACAUGAUAGAAACUGCAAGAGCGUUGUGUAUCAAGCAUUGUUUUUAGGGAUGACUCUUGGAGGGGACAGCCCCGGCAAAGAACUGAGAUUAGACAAGCCCUGUUACUUAGGACGUAAUAAGCUUUGUUCUUACGCUUUGGGAUGGGAAUAGAAACCAAUGGUACUAUUAUUAUGUCUGUCUCUGAAUCCCAAAGCCUAGACAAGGACAUGAUACACAGGAGGUGCUCAAUAAGUAUUUGUUUAAAAGAUAAAUACAUUAAGGAUUAAAUGAAUAAAUAAAUAAAUUAUUGGGGGUAAAUAAGUACAUUAAAGAGUAAAUGAACUAAAGAGUAAGUUGUUGGGUAUGGAUUUCAGUGGAUGAUGAUAUCCUGCAUACAAAUAGAGAUAUCACUAUAUUUAUAAAUUUUGUUCAGUAUCACAAAUGACAGAAUAAAUUGUCAGCUUUUAUUCUCAAAUUCAUCCUUAAAGUAUCAAUCAAAGGAAAAUUUGCUACUAAAAUUAAAACUGGAGUGUAAGAAAUAAAAAAUUUACAUGGAUUUGUCUUUGAACAGUGUAGAGUAUCCAUGAACUUCAAGAAUAUGACAGAGAUAAAAAUAUUUUAAAAAUAUUGACAGAUGUGCAUCACCUUUGAGUGCUUGAGAUUGCACUAUAGUGAUAAGAUCAAAAGUGAGUAAUUUUUACAGCCUUCCCUUUGAGAAACCUAGAAAGGGUAGAAAAGAAAGAUUCUAUAUCUGCUGAGACUGUUUUUGUUAUAUCUGUGAAUGAUGCUGAACUCUGGUGCAUUUCUUUCUCACAUUUUCAUUAUUAUUAAGUAACUUAAUAACACAGUGUUCAAAGUGUUCUGUUAAUUAGAUGUUGAAAGCCAGAAUAAAAAUUUUUAAAAAGCCCUCUUCUUCAAGUAGAUAUUAUGUGGUUGGGUUAAUAGCUAUUAUUCAUUUUUAUGUUUUAUUUAUUUUUCAACUAUAAAAAUACCAUGUCAGAUAAAAAUAUCAAAUACACAAACAAAUGUAAUGGAAAGUAAAAACAAAAAACUUAAAAACUUUUCUUCCAUUUGCUUCACCACAAAAAUUUGGCAGAUAACAUUCUUCCUUCUUCCAUGAUGCUUUAAUUUAUAUAUAUUGAAUAUCUGCAUAUUUUUAAGUAUAUAUAGUUUUAAGGACACAUAGAGGCUGAAAGUGAAGGAAUGGUAAAAGAUAUUCUAUGCAAUGAUAACCAAAGGAGAGCUGGAGUAGUUAUUCUUAUAUCACACAAAAUAGACUUUAAGUCAAAAACUCUCAAAAGAGACAAAGAAGGUCAUUAAAUAAUGGC